UGACGGUUGUAGCAGAGUGGGACCUCAAGAGAGCGGCUUGGGAAGAGUACCAGGAGGCGACGAGUCGUGCGCUCAGGACGUUCUUCUUGACUGGAGAGAGGAUCGCACUUCCGGCCGAGGAGCCAGCUAGGCCGGGGCCGACUCCAGUGUGCCCAUCGAGGGAAGCUUUCGCGGCCACAUACUACGCACGGACUCCGGGCACGGGAAGUUCGCGGAACCGACCCUCUCCUGGUUCG